rnacentral:lncRNA from 1 species
GUCUUCACAUUAUUUCCUUCCUGUAACAGAGUUACCUUAUUUUCAGGAAAUGACCCUGGGUACUAGCCUUCAUUACCAUGGAUAUAUCCCCCCUACGGCCUUGUCUCGUAGUUCCCCUACACUGACCAACUUUUUUUUGUUGUUGCUUCCACUGUUCCUAAAGGCUACAGCUGUGGUUGCUUUAGGGACCUCCUGAAGUACAGGAAAUGGGACCGGGUGAAAAGGAGAUCAAGGCUGGAGAGGCCAAGAAAUGAGAUUCCACCCACCAAAGGAUGUGAAGAUCUGUUAAGAAGCAAAACUGAUGGGGCAAGAGGAAGUCAAUUAGGGAGCCCUUCCCCAUGAGCCAUGGACAGGCAGAAGACCCUGGGAAAAGAAGGUAAAUCUGGUUUCAGUCCAGGGCCAAGGGAUGACCAGAGCAAGGCCAGCCCAAGGACCAGAAGAUUUGACGGGUCCAGGACGCCCUCUGAACCAGACCUUUGCACUGACCCUAAGAUGGACCUAGCUCUUGGAGCUGAUCUGGAAUCUGAGGCGCUUCCAGGACGAGAUGGAAAGUGAGCCAUUGACCUGCCUCUGUCACCAUAAUCUCAGAGAAGCACUGUGGCCUAGUGGAUAGACCAUGGGUCUGGGAGUCAGAAAGAC